CGGGGGUGACAGGUUGGUCCGCUAAGCGCAGUGUACGGUGUUGGGCCUGAGCCCCGGGAUGGCUCAUCACAAGCAUAACAACACCCAUCCCAGGAGCUGCAGUGGAGAUCAUGACAGGCGAUUAACAGACUGUUUCUAACCCCUACAUGUUGACAGAAACAUGAGAAGACCCUAAUAACUGUAUCGGACAAACAAGUCACUGGUCUUUAAGUUUGUCAUUACUUUUGAAGUCUGCAGAACAACUUUGGCCCUAAUCAAAGGUCCUGUGCCAUGUCAAAAUCCAUCAUGACCCUAAAUGACCUCUCCGUGUACCUGAAUACCGCUAUGGACAGUCUCCUGUGCUGUCGUCUACCGACUAUCCCUAGAGGCUGAAGGACAUCAUCAAAUAACCUGUAUCUGGUUGAUUCUUUGCCUAUCAUCAAGAUAUAGAAUAUGGAUGACUUUUUGUUAGUAACACCGAUAAACACAUCAUUCAUAAAACCUGCCCAGGGGAUGGAGAUGGCCAUUGACCAGUAUAAACACA